CCGGAGCCAUCGCGCCGGUUUUACAGUAUAUAUUCAGCGUUUUAUCUUGGAUUUGGGUAAAUUAAGUUCCUACAUUCAGAUAAAGCUAAAGUUAUUUAUGAGUAGAAUCUGGUAAAACACUUUUUUAAGUGUUUUUGUAUCGCUGUGGCGGUGCCGCUGUGCGCAUGCUCCGUGCGGGUGUAGUUUACUGUGGAUUCUCCGGUUUUGUUCGUGUUACUGAACCGGUUUAAAAGAGCCCAUAAUGAAACUUUACAGACGGUCGCUGUUCAGAGUGUUUAUAUGGUGAGGAAAUGGAUCUGUUGAUCGGAAAUGCUGACCGCUUCUAUGAGCUUUUCAGGCUGGGUGGAGUGGCAUGUUCUGAAUGGUCUGGACCACCCUGAAGGAACCUUGUGUGGGUCUGCUCUUCAUCAGGAGCCAGAUCCUGGGUUUACUGUAAAAAUGGUACUCAACCUUUUCAGUUACCUGCAUGUCUAGGAGUGACCAUGUUGCUCAGCAGGUUUGAUCAGCUGUUCAAGGAGUGCUUAUUCUACUGCAGAUCUCAUUGGUGCACCGUGAUCUUCAGCAGCAGGUAGAGGUUUGAACUGUGAUGCUACAGAUCACACUGCUCUUUUAAGAGGCAUGAAAGCAGUGGUGGUGCUUAAAGACUGAACACUGAAAUAAGUGAAUAAAAGAUCUUUGCUCA